AGGUGAGGAGAUUGCCACCCCCAUGUGUCUUCUUCAUCCAGCUCUAUUCAUGAGUCCUCCCCAGAAAGCCUGAGGUAGAAAGCAUGGGGCUUCUUCCUCAGAACUCCCAAUAUACUGGUCCUCACAAUGGUCUGAAGGACUGGUCCACUCCAGCUGCUCCCCCACACAGAAGAAGGUAGGUUGUCCCUAUUUGUGCCUGUCAGUCCAUGGGGUCGCAAAGAGUUGGACACGACUGAGCGACUUCACUUUUUUCCUUUCCUUCUCCCCACAGCUGCUUAAUUAGAUUAAGACAACCAGAGCACUCAACAGCACUCCAGACCCACCAGCAGAGUGAAAAGAGCAGCUGCCAUGGGACACCAUGGGAUAACAGAACAGAACACCACACCACAGGACACAACAGAGAAUGACAGAACACUACAGAGGACACCACACAAUACCAAGUCACCUCAGAUACCACAGGAUACCACAGAGCUCCACAGAAUGCCAAAGACAUCACAGAAUACCACAGAACAUAAAAUACCACAAGCACCACAGAAUACCACAGAAAACAUAGAACACUACGGAAUACCACAGACAACACAGGACACUGCAGACACCUCUAAACACACAAUUCCACAGAAUACCACAGAACCUCACAGAAUACCACAGAGCAACAUAGAAUACCACAAGCACCACAGAAUACCACAGAAAACAUAGAACACUACAGAAUACCACAGACAACACAGGACACUGCAGACACCUCUAAACACCACACAAUUCCACAGAAUACCACAGAAUACCACAGGACACCAUAGACACCUGAGAAUACUACAUAGUACCACAGAUACCACAAGUACCACAGAAUACCACAGAAAACAUAGAACACUACGGAAUACCACAGACAACACAGGACACUGCAGACACCUCUAAACACCACACAAUUCCACAGAAUACCACAGAACAUCACAGAAUACCACAGAACAUAGAAUACCACAAGCACCACAGAAUACCACAGAAAACAUAGAACACUACGGAAUACCACAGCACCAGAGAAUACCAAAAACAUCACAGAAUACCACAGAACAUAGAAUACCACAAGCACCACAGAAUACCACAGAAAACAUAGAACACUACAGAAUACCACAGACAACACAGGACACUGCAGACACCUCUAAACACCACACAAUUCCACAGAAUACCACAGAAUACCACAGGACACCAUAGACACCUGAGAAUACCACAACAACAUAGAAUACCACAAGCACCACAGAAUACCACAGAAAACAUAGAACACUACGGAAUACCAC
ensembl:lncRNA